rnacentral:rRNA from 1 species
UACGUAGGGGGCUAGCGUUGUCCGGAAUCAUUGGGCGUAAAGCGCGUGUAGGCGGCCCGGUAAGUCCGCUGUGAAAGUCGGGGGGCUCAACCCUCGGAUGCCGGUGGAUACUGUCGGGCUCGAGUACGGAAGAGGCGAGUGGAAUUCCUGGUGUAGCGGUGAAAUGCGCAGAUAUCAGGAAGAACACCAACGGCGAAGGCAGCUCGCUGGGACGGUACUGACGCUGAGACGCGAAAGCGUGGGGAGCGAACAGG